rnacentral:lncRNA from 1 species
UAUUUGCAGAAGCUGUUUUUGUGUUUUAAAGGUGUUAUAACUUUGUUUGACAUAUUUCUAUUUUAUUCCUAGCUUCCGUGCGAUGACUCUUUGCAAAACAGAAAAACAUUUCAUGGUGCAGUGAGUUUUGCAGCCUCACUUUCCCACUUUGGCUGAAUCUAUGGCUUUGAGGUGGUGGCUUCAAUUGCCUUUAGGUACUGAUUUGGACUCACGAUUAUUGAAUCUGACUCUGAUUCUUUUGUUAAAUUCCUAUAUGGUAAAUUAAGUAUUGUAUCUAUUGAAUAAAUUAUUUUGAAAGAUGUAAAAGCUAUGUAGUUUAUGCAUUAGUCAAAGUUGCUUGAAACUAUGGUUCUACAUUUUGGUUGCUCAAUUGAUCACCAAGAUAAGAAUUGAUAUUCAUGUAUCAUUUUUUUGAUGUUUAUCUCCACAUAUUUGCAUAGGUGUCCAAUUUUCUUGAGAUAAUGCUCUUUUAUGGAUGUCUUAAACUAUUUUUAACACAUCAAUUCCACUAUCCCUCCUAUUUUCAUGCUCUCUCUCUUUUUGUUUAUGAACAGUUUUAGUGGUAAUGUGGUUUUCAAGCCC